GUUCACCUGUGUCUAGCGAGCAUUGCAUUAUGAUUUGUAGGAUGGGUGCGAGUUGUUCAGCACAUUCCUUAAGUAUGCGGUUUGGGAUGUUGUCUGGUCCAGAGGCUUUAUUUGGGUUGGUGUUUUUUAAGUAGUUUUUCCAGUCCCUUUUGGUCGAUCGUUAAUGGUGUUAUAUUGAUUUUAGCUCGUAUUCUUGUUGUUGGUAGGUUAGUGUCUGAUGUUAUUGUGAAUACGGACUUGAAUUGUUCUAGUAGGAGUUCGGCUUUCCCUUUACUGUCACUGACAAGAUUAGUCCCCUUUUUUAAUGGUGCGAUUCCUCCUGAGUCCUGGCGUUUGGAUUUAAUGUAUUUCCAAAACGGCUUUGUGUCAUUGUUGUUUAGGCCCUCAAAGAUGUUUUGGUUGACAUAUUCAUAUUCUGCUUUCCUCAGUUGUUUCUUGCAUUCCUUUUGAAAAGACCUAUAAUUUGACCAUUUGUUUGUUUUUCUGGCUUGUUUGUAUAGCCUCUGUUUUUUCUUUAGCAUUUUCCUCUGUUUGUGUUUGAUCCAUGGGAUGUUAUUUCUUGAUCUUAUUUCUUUGUUCGGAAUAUUUGUAUUCAUGGUUUUUUGAAGCUGACUUUUGAAGGUGUCCCAAAGUUGAUGUACCUCAGCUCCUUGAUGAUGUUUUUCUUUGACCUCUUCUAGGGUGUGUUUAAGGUCUGUGGUGAUUUGGUCCCAUUUUGCCUUCUUGUAGAUGUAACAUUUUCUUGGUAGGCUUUUUUGAUGGUGUACUUUUGUUUCCAGGUCGGUGAUUAUGAUGUCAUGGUCUGAUAUACCUGGUACGUUAUUGGAAGAUUUAACUAGAGUUGGGUUUGUAACAAAUACAAGAUCUAGGAGGUUUCCUUCACGAGUUGGUAUAGUGUGUAUUUGUGUCAGAUUAUAUGUUUCAGCUAUUUCAACUAGUCCUUGUUGGAUUUCUCUGUCUGGUCCAAGGGCUGUUGCUGUGUCCCAUAUGAUG
rnacentral:lncRNA from 1 species